GAUGAACGCUGGCGGCGUGCCUAAUACAUGCAAGUCGAACGAACAGACGAGGCUCUUGCUCCUCUCACGUUAGCGGCGGACGUGUGAAUAACACGAGUAUCACCUACCUGUAAGACGGGGAUAACCACGAGAAACCGGAUAUAAUACGGGAGAAUAUCUUGAACCGCAUUGUUCAAUAGUAAGAUUCGGUUUUGCUGUCACUUCUAGCGGGAUCCGCGCCGCAUUAGCUAGUAGGUAAGGUAACGGCUUAUCAAGGCUACGAUGCGUAGCCGACCUGAGGGGGUGGUCGGCCACACUGGAACUGAGACACGGUCCAGACUCCUACGCGAGGCAGCAGAAGGGAAUCUGCCGCAAUGGGCGAAAGCCUGACGGAGCAACGCCACGCGAGUGAUGGAGGUCUUCGGAUCGGAAAACUCGGUUAUUAGUGAUGAACAAAUGUGGCAGGAACUGUGCACGGCUUGACGGUACCUGAUCAGAAAGCCACGGCUAACUACGUG
rnacentral:rRNA from 1 species